AAUGAACGUUGGCGGCGUGGAUUAGGCAUGCAAGUCGAGCGAGAACCCCGCAAGGGGGGACAGCGGCGAAAGGGACAGUAAUGGGUAGAUUAUCUGCCCUCAGGUCCGGGAUAGCUGCGGGAAACUGCAGGUAAUACCGGAUAACAUCUCCGGAUCAAAGGCGUGAUUCCGCCGGAGGAUGAGUCUGCAUCCUAUUAGCUAGUUGGUGGGGUAAUGGCCUACCAAGGCAUUGAUGGGUAGCAGGUGUGAGAGCACGACCUGCGUCAUUGGGACGGAGACACUGCCCAGACACCUACGGGUGGCUGCAGUCGAGAAUCUUCGGCAAUGGGCGCAAGCCUGACCGGGCGGCGCCGCGUGUGGGAUGAAGGCCUUCGGGUUGUAAACCACCGUCAGAGGGGAUGAAAUGCAGGUGGGUUCUCCCAUCUGUUUGACAUAGCCUCAGAGGAAGGACGGGCUAAGUUCGUG
rnacentral:rRNA from 1 species